CCUACGGGAGGCAGCAGUGAGGAAUAUUGGUCAAUGGACGAGAGUCUGAACCAGCCAAGUAGCGUGAAGGAUGACUGCCCUAUGGGUUGUAAACUUCUUUUAUAAAGGAAUAAAACGAGGCACGUGUGCCUGUUUGCAUGUACUUUAUGAAUAAGGAUCGGCUAACUCCGUGCCAGCAGCCGCGGUAAUACGGAGGAUCCGAGCGUUAUCCGGAUUUAUUGGGUUUAAAGGGAGCGUAGAUGGGUUGGUAAGUCAGUCGUGAAAGUUUGCGGCUCAACCGUAAAAUUGCAAUUGAUACUGGCAGUCUUGAGUACAGGUGAGGUAGGCGGAAUUCGUGGUGUAGCGGUGAAAUGCUUAGAUAUCACGAAGAACCUCGAUUGCGAAGGCAGAUUACUAAACUGUGACUGACAUUGAUGCUCGAAAGUGUGGGUAUCAAACAGGAUUAGAUACCCGAGUAGUC
rnacentral:rRNA from 1 species